UGGAAUUCUUUCCUGGGCAAAGACAAGAGCCCUUCCACGCUAAGCACCCAUUCUGUGGCUCACCUGUCCUGUAACAUCUGACGACCAUGAAGAGACAAAGAUGAUUCAACUAUUGCUCUGUCUUACUGCUUUCAGCUCUUUCUCCCUUUAAAAAGGCCUGGGACGCUGGUUCUCUCCUUCAGCUCUUUCAUCAGCUCCUGUGAUUCUGACUGUCGUGGCCUGAUGGACAUGAAGGAUGAGCUGCAAGGAAGAUGAUCAAGAUCACACAACUCGGGAAAGGAAAAAGUAGAGCUGAAAUUUCCAUCGCUG